rnacentral:rRNA from 1 species
ACCUACGGGGGGCAGCAGUCGGGAAUAUUGCGCAAUGGAGGAAACUCUGACGCAGUGACGCCGCGUAUGGGAAGAAGGUUUUCGGAUUGUAAACCAUUGUCGUUAGGGAAGAAGAAGUGACAGUACCUAAGGAGGAAGCUCCGGCUAACUAUGUGCCAGCAGCCGCGGUAAUACAUAGGGAGCAAGCGUUAUCCGGAUUUAUUGGGUGUAAAGGGUGCGUAGACGGGAAUUUAAGUUAGUUGUGAAAUCCCUCGGCUCAACUGAGGAACUGCAACUAAAACUGGAUUUCUUGAGUGCUGGAGAGG